AACGAACGCUGGCGGCAGGCUUAACACAUGCAAGUCGAGCGCCCCGCAAGGGGAGCGGCAGACGGGUGAGUAACGCGUGGGAAUCUACCGUGCCCUACGGAAUAGCUCCGGGAAACUGGAAUUAAUACCGUAUACGCCCUACGGGGGAAAGAUUUAUCGGGGUAUGAUGAGCCCGCGUUGGAUUAGCUAGUUGGUGGGGUAAAGGCCUACCAAGGCGACGAUCAGUAGCUGGUCUGAGAGGAUGAUCAGCCACAUUGGGACUGAGACACGGCCCAAACUCCUACGGGAGGCAGCAGUGGGGAAUAUUGGACAAUGGGCGCAAGCCUGAUCCAGCCAUGCCGCGUGAGUGAUGAAGGCCUUAGGGUUGUAAAGCUCUUUCGUCCGGGACGAUAAUGACGGUACCGGAAGAAGAAGCCCCGGCUAACUUCGUGCCAGCCGCCGCCGUAACAC
rnacentral:rRNA from 1 species